GAGUUUGAUCGUGGCUCAGGAUGAACGCUGGCGGCGUGCUUAACACAUGCAAGUCGAACGAAGCGCCUUAUUUGAUUUUCUUCGGAACUGAAGAUUUGGUGACUGAGUGGCGGACGGGUGAGUAACGCGUGGGUAACCUGCCCUGUACAGGGGGAUAACAAUCAGAAAUGACUGCUAAUACCGCAUAAGACCACAGCACCGCAUGGUGCAGGGGUAAAAACUCCGGUGGUACAGGAUGGACCCGCGUCUGAUUAGCUGGUUGGUGAGGUAACGGCUCACCAAGGCGACGAUCAGUAGCCGGCUUGAGAGAGUGAACGGCCACAUUGGGACUGAGACACGGCCCAAACUCCUACGGGAGGCAGCAGUGGGGAAUAUUGCACAAUGGGGGAAACCCUGAUGCAGCAACGCCGCGUGAGUGAAGAAGUAUUUCGGUAUGUAAAGCUCUAUCAGCAGGGAAGAAAGUGACGGUACCUGACUAAGAAGCCCGGCUAACUACGUGCCAGCAGCAGCCGAC
rnacentral:rRNA from 1 species